AGAACGAACGCUGGCGGCAGGCCUAAUACAUGCAAGUCGAACGCACUCUUCGGAGUGAGUGGCAGACGGGUGAGUAACGCGUGGGAACCUUCCUUGUAGUACGGAAUAACUCCGGGAAACCGGUGCUAAUACCGUAUACGCCCUCCGGGGGAAAGAUUUAUCGCUACAAGAUGGGCCCGCGUUGGAUUAGCUAGUUGGUAGGGUAAUGGCCUACCAAGGCUACGAUCCAUAGCUGGUCUGAGAGGAUGAUCAGCCACACUGGGACUGAGACACGGCCCAGACUCCUACGGGAGGCAGCAGUAGGGAAUCUUGGACAAUGGGCGAAAGCCUGAUCCAGCCAUGCCGCGUGAGUGAAGAAGGCCUUAGGGUUGUAAAGCUCUUUUGGCGGGACGAUAAUGACGGUACCGCAGAAUAAGCCCCGGCUAACUUCGUGCCAGCAGCCGC
rnacentral:rRNA from 1 species